CUUGCUCUACAUAGAUAAUGCACAUGGUUUCUAAUAGCAAUCGAAAGACGCGAAAACGAAAUAUACUGCAAAAGUGAGAAUGGGAACAAUAAUGGCGGCGCAGAGGUCAACAUAAGCAUCACAGUCCACGGAAAGUCGCGCUGGAAAGGUCGACUCCGCGACGCAGGUGGGGGAAGAACGCGAAGAAGAAAACCUCUGCGCGCGGUCGAAGUCGAGCUAUUAUUAUUGACAUCGAACAGUUACGGGUGAAACUUUUCUUUCUGGCUCGAACACGCCAAAAAGCUUUACACAAAGAGAAAGAAAGAAAGAAAGAACCGAUCGAAAAAAGUAAACGUUCACCGUUAUACAUUGUGCGUAGAAGACGGGAUUCAGCCUAAGCUAACAACCGUUUGUUUAUUGACGUAUUUAAAGGUACGAAGAGACGCAGACCUUCGAAGGAAUUUCAACUUUCACGACAAACUUCAUAAACCCGUACCAUAUAAACUCUGAUAACGGACAAUCUUUCACGAACCAAGGAAUGCUUCUAGCUUAUCGUGGCGAUCGAAACUCACGCAAACAGGGCGUUUACCAUAAACUUUACCAUCCAUCCAAGUUGGAGACUAUGUGUGUACCACAGCAAUAAUCCGAAUCGCGACGAUUUUAACCAAAGCUAUUUCGAAAGUGAACCAGAUUAGCCGCGGAAACCCAAUGAAAUUGAUUCGCAUUUCCGGGAAACCGAGCCAUCAAACGGAGGAAUAUCAAAUGCCGGCAGGGUUAAAAAGGGAAGAAGGAAACUCUAUGCGAGCGAGACUCGCGCUAUUAUUAUUGACAUCGAAUGGUUACGAGAGACCAUGCCCUGCCGCCCCUCUCGCGUUCCUCUCGACCUAAUUCGUGGACGCUGACGAUCGGAGGAGCGUUCUCGCCUGCUCGAGGUGUCCCUGAGCGCCAAGGACGUUCUCGAGCGCGUUGGUGAGCCGCGCAAAGGUUACGCCGAAGUUUCCUUGGGACGAACUCGGUCUCGGACCUCUUCCCUUAGAAGGAUCAUCGUUGCCCUUAAAAGAAGCUUGCCCCGUGUCUUCUUUUUGCGACUAAUGAGUUGCUAUUUUUGGGUAACUGAUACAACAUCGAGGGAACGGACACGUUGGAAAUGGAACACCGCCAUUGAAUUCUCUACGAAAUUAAGAUCGGUAUCCAGACAAAUAUCUACAAGGACACUGAUACUUUAGAUUCGACUUCGGCGAUAGUUACGGCGGGCUGAGAAACGUACGCAACGGCUCGAAUUUCAUGAGAUAAAAGACAAGGACGGGUUGAAUUGCCAGAUACCAGCCGGUCGCUUUGUCCGUGACCGCGAAAGCCUUUCUCGAACAUGUCGCAUCGCCCAGAGCUUGAAUUAGGUUAACAAAACGAUCGUUGGCAUAUUGCGGUUUGUUUAAUUUCGAUCGUUCCUUACCGCGUGUCUAUGUGCGAACAAACAAACGCGGUAGCAAAAUGUUAGCGUCGCGUCUCGCUGGCCUUGGAGAUUUGCGAUAAAUCGAUAACUUCCAGCAAAAAUGACCGAUCGUAGAUGCUACUCCGAGUCAAGAAUGUCUUAAAACAUGUCGUAAUGUACUGCGUCUGUGUGCGCGUCGCAAAUGUAAUGCAUGCGCGGGCGAGCCUACGUGUAACACGCGUUACAUCGCGAACCGUGCGAAGAGGAAUGCAGUUAGUCGAAUUUCCGACAUUCGGUCGGUUUGAUCGGUCGAUUUUUUUUCAAAUUCCAUCGGACCCGUCUCGUACAAUCGGGCAGAAGGAAAACGUUCGGAACGUGUACGCAGGCGCUCGAGAACAGAGGCGUGCAACGUUAUCCAGGCCCGAAAAUAAAUCGUCAGCACUUUCGAACGAUAAUAAGCUGGAAUUCCCGAAAACCAGUCACGUGUUUUCUUGGAGGACCACGAUGCAAAUGGUGGUUCUCCAGGGGAUCCUUGGACGACCAAGGACGCGCGCGGAUGAACCGGCGAGGAUGUCUGUGAAACUCGUCCCGGUUCUGCGCCUUUUUCCACAUAAGAUCACGCGGCGCUCUACGAGAAACUUCGGUAUAUCACGAGGUGGAAUGACGAAAGGAGGACGGUCGAUUCUCGGUCCGAGGUCGCCCGUAGGUCAAAUCGCUGUCGCGGAGACGACCCUGGGUCUGGCUGUUUGUACACCAAAGAUGGUCGGUUGUCCACGAUCGUUCGCACGUACUUUUUAGCCGAACAAUUUUCGACACGUAACGCUGCAAUUUCGUUGGGUCAUCCUGCAAAUAAUGACCUUAAUCUCCGUUAAGACCAAACCGCGUGGGUUGUACGGUGAAAAACUUCUGCGAUUAAAGGAUCCCGUUAAUUUUGUAAUCCAGUUUAUCUAAUUUAGGGAUAACUAUUGGAAGAUGACGAGUAUGGAAAACUAUACUUCAGCUCUUAGUAGCCUGUAUUUUGAAUAGAAAUAGCAAAUCGAUCUUUAGGUUUCUUUUCAAUGUUCAAAUUAUCUGCGCUUUGAGUGUAGACACUGUUUGGUACGAGUGAAUGAACAAAAGUUUGUAAUACCGUCGUGAGGUUUAUGGUAUAAUAAAACAAUCAUCACACGAAACGUAA